CGGGCUAUAGCGCAGUCUGGUAGCGCACUUGCAUGGGGUGCAAGGGGUCGAGAGUUCGAAUCUCUCUAGCCCGA
rnacentral:tRNA from 1 species